GCGGGUCGUCUCCUGUGUAUGCAGGGUCGUUCUGCAGCGUCUCUGGGAGAUGGCGUCCCUGGGAGCCCUCAGGUCGCCCCUACCCGCUGCGGGGUGCUUUCCUGGCGUCACGCCUUCCUGGCCCCUGGAGGGAAGGAAGUGAAACUCUCCUCUUCCCCCACCCGGCUGGAAUGCGAGUCAGGAAGCCUGGGGCUCCAGCCUGCUCCGGCUGCCCGGGUCGGGGAUGGGGAGGGGCGUGGCCGGAGCGCAAAGCCCCGCCCCUCCGCGCCCCCCCCCCGGAAGCCCCGCCGCCGGCCGCUAAGGCGAUCACGGGCCCUGUCCUAAUAUGGGCAACCGGAAGCGGCCCGCGCGACUGC
rnacentral:lncRNA from 1 species